rnacentral:rRNA from 1 species
AACGAACGCUGGCGGCAUGCCUAACACAUGCAAGUCGAACGAGACCUUCGGGUCUAGUGGCGCACGGGUGCGUAACGCGUGGGAACCUGCCCUUAGGUUCGGAAUAACUCCCCGAAAGGGGUGCUAAUACCGGAUAAUGUCUUCGGACCAAAGAUUUAUCGCCUUUGGAUGGGCCCGCGUUGGAUUAGCUAGUUGGUAGGGUAAAAGCCUACCAAGGCGACGAUCCAUAGCUGGUCUGAGAGGAUGAUCAGCCACACUGGGACUGAGACACGGCCCAGACUCCUACGGGAGGAAGCAGUGGGGAAUAUGGGACAAUGGGCGAAAGCCGGAUCCAGCAAGGCCGCGGGAGUGAUGAAGGCCUUAGGGUGGUAAAGCUCUUUUACCCGGGAUGAUAAUGACAGUACCGGGAGAAUAAGCUCCGGCUAACUCCGU